rnacentral:rRNA from 1 species
UACGUAGGGAGCAAGCGUUGUCCGGAAUCAUUGGGCGUAAAGCGCGCGUAGGCGGCCUCAUAAGUCCGUUGUGAAAGUCAAAGGCUCAACCUUUGAAAGCCGAUGGAUACUGUGAGGCUAGAGUCCGGAAGAGGCGAGUGGAAUUCCCGGUGUAGCGGUGAAAUGCGCAGAUAUCGGGAGGAACACCAAUGGCGAAGGCAGCUCGCUGGGACGGUACUGACGCUGAGGCGCGAAAGCGUGGGGAGCAAACAGG